CCAGCAACAGAGCUUCCUCUUCGUCCUCCCUUCCCGACGGCGUCGGCGAAGCCUCUCCGCCGACCACCCCCGCGGCUCCAGGCCUCCUCCCGCCGAAGCGCGCCUAUCUCGAAGGCAGGUGAGGCAUGGCUUCGAAUGUGAACCCUUCGAAGAGACCGUUCCAGAAGAAUUCUUCAGAACACAAUGGUCGCGCCAAGUGGCAAAAGACAAAGCACGCUUCUUCGCAGCAGCCUCAGCUGGUAAUACAGCCUGGUGUUCCUCUUAUCCGCAUUCUCUGCCCUACUGAAAAAUGCGGGAAUGUCAUUGGCAAAGGUGGCGGCAUCAUUGCAAAGAUAAGGAAAGAAAACGGAGUGAAAAUUAGAGUUGAUGAAGCAGUCCCUGGCUGCGAUGAGAGAGUUAUCGUCAUAACUGCUGUUGAGAAGGAUAAAGAAGCUAGUCAUGAGACAGGUAAAGAGAAUGAUGGAGGUCCUUCUGUUUCUGCUGAUGGCGAGCAUGGGAAGGAGAAAGACCCCAGCCAGGAGGAAGAAAAAGAUGAUUCAGAUAAUGUCCAUGGUAAGGAAGAAAAAGAUGACCCAGAGAGAGAUGACAGCAAGGAAGAAAAGGAGGAUUCGUCUGUUGCAAAAGAUACAAAGCUGGAGUCUGAGAGGGUAAUGCCAUCAGCGAUGAAUGCCAUUCUGCGUGUGUUUGAUAGGAUUUUCAUAACUGAAAUUGAAAAUGGGACUGAGGAUGCAUCGGGCCAGAGAACUCCUGUGUCUUUCAGAUUGCUGGUGCUCGAUAGCCAAGUGGGUUGGCUUUUGGGGAAUCGUGGUAGUGCGAUUAAGCAAAUGUCCGCUGAUAGUGGCACUGAAAUCCGAGUUUCAAAGGAGAAACUUCCUUUAUGUGCUUUGCUUAAAGAUGAACUUUGCCAGAUCACUGGAGAUCUUGAAUCAGUUAGGAAAGGUCUGAACGCAGUGGCUCAAGUGCUCCUUACUCACACCCCUAGGGAAAGUGAUGUACUUCCUGUUGCUCAUCCUUCUGGUUCAUCAUCACAUGCCUUCAAUCGGUCAGAUGGUCUUCCUCCAGGAAUGCAGCCUAACUUCCAUCUUCCUCUUCAAGGGCCAUCCCAUGCCAGGGGACCGUUUGAUAUUAUUGACCAAAGGCCAAAUAACGCUCCUUUCCCCAUAUUUCCUGACCAGCGCUCAAACAUUCCCCCUUUUCCCACAUUUCCUGAUGCAAUGCAUGGCCAUGCUUCAGUUCCUCCAGAACCUCUCACCUUCAAGUUAUUAUGUUCAAGUGACAAGGUCGGAAGUAUAAUAGGGAAGGGUGGAAACAGUAUCAAGACUAUUCAGAAAGAUACAGGUUGUGAAAUAAAGAUUGUUGAGACUGUUCCAAAAUCAGAAGAUCACGUCAUAGUUAUUUCUGGACCUGCGCAUCCGGGUGAUGGAAUUUCCCCAGCACAGAAUGCAAUUCUGCAUGUGCAGCGCAAAAUUACGCCACCUACCAAUAACAACAAGGAGGGUCCUGCAAUAUCUAGGCUGAUUGUUUCACCUAACCAAGUUGGUUGCGUCCUUGGCAAAGGUGGCAGUAUCAUAGCUGAAAUGAGGAAGCUGUCAAAAGCUCAUAUUAUAGUGUUGAGCAAAGACAAGAUCCCAAGGGGUGUCCAAGAAAAUGAUGAAGUUGUUCAGAUCACUGGGGAUUCUGAAGCUAUUCAGGAGGCUCUGAUGCAGAUAACUGCUAGGCUACGCAACAAUCUUUUCCGGGGCAGAAUGGCUUCAAUGGGUCCUAAUAUGCAGCCACCUUUUGGUUUGCUCGAUCCUCAGUUUGGUGCAUUUGCAGGAAUCCAUGAAUCUACAUCUCCUAGGAUUUUUCCUAAUGCGCCUCAGUUUCAUAAAGAUUUCAUGGGACGGCCAUUAGAUGAGAUGUCUGCUCCUUGGACCACAAAGGAUCUUGGUGAUCCGAUGUCGAUAUCGGGUGUCCCUGGAAUGGCACAUAGAGGAAUGGGUGGAUUUUCUGGUCCUGUUCAUUCAUCUAGACCAAACAUAACUGGAAAUAUCAUGGUCCCAAGAUUUCUUAUACCUGCUCUAUGUGGUCAAGAUGGAGGUUGCUUGAAUAUGAUUCGUGAGUUUUCAGGAGCUAAGAUAACAAUUGAUGAACCUCUAUCUGAUUCCAUGGAUACAUCCGUUAUGAUAUUUGGCACACCGGACCAGAUGCAUGCAGCCCGAAGUCUUAUUCAAGCAUUUGUUCUGAGUGAACCACCUGCCCCAUGAUAUUCCAAAUCUCUGAAGGUCAGCAAUUUUGGUGAGUUGUCAGCUGCUAGUUCCUUGUAGUCAGACAGUUGGUUGCCAUCUCUGCUUGGUUAUCCUUUGCUGCAGUGUCAGCAUUGGAGGCUGCAUCGUAGAAGGAAGCAAGUGGCGUGGACUCCAUGAAUGGAACGGACGAGAUGGAGCCAAGUAUGAAAGCAACUGUCCUGGAAUCGCUCCUAUUUUUUCUCCGUAGUCUACGUGGAUAGCUAACAACCAGGACAUGAUCGGCCAUGGAAUGCGCUUUGCAGCUGGAGUAACAUUGCGGAUCGUUCUAUCUGGUUCUGUCAUGUACGUAGAAUUGUUGUAGCCAUACAUUAAAUGAACACAUGAACUAAAAAAGAGGUAUGAAUUAAAAACCGGGUAGACAGAACACCCGAGUAUGUGAAAGCAUAUUCACUUCAAUCCCACCGCUCAAUCUCUCAGUGGUAGUUUUUUUGUUUUGGAUAAUCUAAGAAAAGUAGUUUGGUUUU